AAGUAGCUGUUCAGCAGACGGCAACGAGUUGAGGAGGAGGAGGAAAAAGAAGCAUUAACAGGAAAUUGACGGGUUGUUAUUCCUUCUUCCAGUCAAGGUAAAGUAAAUAAAUGGAGAGUUUACAAAAAAAAAAA